UACAGAGGUCCCAAGCGUUGUUCGGAUUCACUGGGCGUAAAGGGUGCGUAGGUGGUGAGGUAAGUCGGAUGUGAAAGCUCCGAGCUCAACUCGGAAAUGGCAUUGGAAACUACCUUGCUCGAGGGUUUGAGGGGGGACUGGAAUACUUGGUGUAGCAGUGAAAUGCGUAGAUAUCGAGAGGAACACCAGUGGCGAAGGCGAGUCUCUGGACGACUCCUGACACUGAGGCACGAAAGCUGGGGGAGCAAACGAGG
rnacentral:rRNA from 1 species